CUGGCCCUACCUGGGGUCCAGGGCACCCCGGAGCCGGAGCACGGGGCCUGGAGGUGCCCCCGGGACCCUGGAAGCUGCCUCUCUGGGAUGCUAGGUCCUCUCAGAGCUCAUCCGGGACCCUCCAGGGGAAGCACAGAACCUCCAAAGGCUCUAUGGAUUUCCGAGGAGGGGGCAGGACAAAGAUGGGCCUCCCCCAGAUGCGGCUGUUAGGAAACGUAACAUCACCCGUGGCUUCACCACGCUGCCAUCUGCGGACAGGGCUGGUGUAGGCCAGAGACUGGCCAACGUUUUCUACGAGGGGCCAGAGAGCAAAUAUUUAGAGCUUUGCUGGCCAUAUGGUCUCUGCUGCAACUGCUCAUUUCUGCCGUCGCCAGGCAAAAGCUAACACAGACAACACGUAAACAAAUGAGCGUGGCUGUGUUCCAAUAAAACUUUUAAAAAAUAAAAACAGACAGUGGGACAGAUUUGUUCCACAGACCCCUGCACUAGAUCUCUGGUUUCCAGACUUUUGAAUCACACUAAUUACUAACAUUUAAUUACUUUUUUUUUAUAAAUUAAAAAAAAAAUAGAUCUUGCCACUUUGCCCAGGCUGGUCUCAAACUCUUGGGCUCUAGUGAUCCUCCCAACUCA
rnacentral:lncRNA from 1 species